GCUUGCGUAGCUUAAUGGGAAAGCACCGCUCCACAAUUCAUGUGAAAGCGGGUGAUUCAAGCGGGUAUCCGAGUUCGACUCUCGGCGCAAGCC